GGGGAAUUUUGGACAAUGGGGGCAACCCUGAUCCAGCAACGCCGCGUGAGGGAUGAAGGUCUUCGGAUUGUAAACCUCUUUUGUGAGGGAAGAACUGUCACGUGAAGAACGUGAUUUGACGGUACUUCAUGAAUAAGCCACGGCUAACUUCGUGCCAGCAGCCGCGGUAAUACGAAGGUGGCAAGCGUUACUCGGAAUUACUAGGCGUAAAGCGCAGGUAGGUGGUUGGAUAAGUCUGUUAUGAAAUCUCCCGGCUUAACUGGGAGCGGUUAAUGGAUACUGUCCGGCUCGAGUGUGGGAGAGGUAACUGGAAUUCCAGGUGUAGCGGUGAAAUGCGUAGAUAUCUGGAGGAACACCAAUGGCGAAAGCAGGUUACUGGCCCAAUACUGACACUGAGCUGCGAAAGCUAGGGGAGCAAAC
rnacentral:rRNA from 1 species